AUUGAACGCUGGCGGCAGGCCUAACACAUGCAAGUCGAACGGUAACAGGAAGAAGCUUGCUUCUUUGCUGACGAGUGGCGGACGGGUGAGUAAUGUCUGGGAAACUGCCUGAUGGAGGGGGAUAACUACUGGAAACGGUAGCUAAUACCGCAUAACGUCGCAAGACCAAAGAGGGGGACCUUCGGGCCUCUUGCCAUCGGAUGUGCCCAGAUGGGAUUAGCUAGUAGGUGGGGUAACGGCUCACCUAGGCGACGAUCCCUAGCUGGUCUGAGAGGAUGACCAGCCACACUGGAACUGAGACACGGUCCAGACUCCUACGGGAGGCAGCAGUGGGGAAUAUUGCACAAUGGGCGCAAGCCUGAUGAAGCCAUGCCGCGUGUAUGAAGAAGGCCUUCGGGUUGUAAAGUACUUUCAGCGGGGAGGAAGGGAGUAAAGUUAAUACCUUUACUCAUUGACGUUACCCGCAGAAGAAGCACCGGCUAACUCCGUG
rnacentral:rRNA from 1 species